rnacentral:rRNA from 1 species
UACAGAGGGGGCAAGCGUUGUUCGGAAUUACUGGGCGUAAAGGGCGCGUAGGCGGCCUGCUAAGUCGAACGUGAAAUCCCCGGGCUCAACCCGGGAACUGCGUCCGAUACUGGCAGGCUUGAAUCCGGGAGAGGGAUGUGGAAUUCCAGGUGUAGCGGUGAAAUUCGUAGAUAUCGGGAGGAACACCGGCGGCGAAGGCGGCGAUCUGGGUCGAGACUGACGCUGAGGCGCGAAAGCGUGGGGAGCAAACAGG